UCAGUUCCAGGAUCAGUUCCAGGGUCAGUUCCAGGGUCAGGGUAUGUUCCAGGGUCAGUUCCAGUUCCAGGGUCUUAUCCAGGGUCAGUUCCAGUUCCAGGAUCAGUUCCAGGGUCAGUUCCAGGGUCAGUUCCAGUUUCAGGGUCAGUUCCAGGUUCAGAUCCAGUUCCAGGGUCAGUUCCAGGGUCAGUUCCAGGAUCAUUUCUAGUUCCAUGGUCAGUUCCAGUUUCAGUUCCAGGAUCAGUUCCAGGGUCAGUUCCAGUGUCAGUUCCAGGAUCAGUUCCAGGGUCAGUUCCAGGGUCAGUUCCAGUUCCAGGGUCAGUUCCAGUUCCAGGGUCAGUUCCAGGGUCAGUUCCAGGGUCAGUUCCAGUUCCAGGGUCAGUUCCAGGGUCAGAUCCAGUUCCAGGGUCAGUUCCAGGGUCAGUUCCAGGAUCAUUUCUUGUUCCAGGGUCAGUUCCAGGUCAGUUCCAGGGUGAGUUCCAGUUUCAGGGUCAGUUCCGGUGUCAGAUCCAGUUCCAGGAUCAGUUCCAGGGUCAGUUCCAGGAUCAUGUCUUGUUCCAGGGUCAGUUCCAGGGUCAGUUUCAGGGUCAGUUCCAUGGUCAGUUCCAGUUUCAGUUCCAGGGUCAGUUCCAGGGUCAGUUCCAGGGUCAUUUCUUGUUCCAGUGUCAGUUCCAGGGUCAGUUCCAGGGUCAGUUCCAGGAUCAUUUCUUGUUCCAGGGUCAGUACCAGGGUCAGUUCCAGGGUCAGUUCCAGGGUCAGUUCCAGAAUCAGUUCCAGGGUCAGUUCCAGGGUCAGUUCCAGUUUCAGGGUGAGUUCCAGGAUCAGUUCCAGGAUCAGUUCCAGGGUCAGUUCCAGGAUCAUUUCCAGGAUCAGUUCCAGUUCCAGGGUCAGUUCCAGGACCAGUUCCAGGAUCAGUUCCAGUUCCAGGGUCAGUUCCAGGGUCAGUUCCAGGAUCAGUUCCAGGGUUCCAGGAUCAGAUAAUUCAUAAAUAUCCAAAUAACUUCACACAUCUUCAUUGGUAAGGGUUUAAACACUGUUUCCCAUGCUUGUUCAAUGAUCCAUAAACAAUUAAUGAACAUGCACCUGUGGAACGGUCGUUAAGACACUAACAGCUUACAGACGGUAGGCAAUUAAGGUCACAGGUAUGAAAACGUAGGACACUAAAGAGGCCUUUCUACUGACUCUGAAAAACACCAAAAGAAAGAUGCCCAGGGUCCCUGCUCAUCUGCGUGAACAUUCCUUAGGCAUGCUGCAAGGAGGCAUGAGGACUGUAGAUGUGGCCAGGGCAAUAAAUUGCAAUGUCUGUACUGUGAGACGCCUAAGACAGUGCUACAGGGAGACAGGACGGACAGCUGAUCGUCCUCGCAGUGGCAGACCACAUGUAACAACACAUGCACAGGAUCGGUACAUCCGAAUAUCACACCUGCGAGACAGGUACAGGAUGGCACCAACAACUGCACGAGUUACACCAGGAACACACAAUCCCUCCAUCAGUGCUCAGACUGUCCACAAUAGGCUGAGAGAGGCUGAACUGGGGGCUUGUAGGCCUGUUGUAAGGCAGGUCCUCACUACACAUCACCGGCAACAACGUCGCCUAUGGGCACAAACCCACACUUUUAAAAAAACUGAAUAAAAGUGCUCAAAAUAGCCCAUGUUAGCGUAUGUAGCUUAAGAAACAAGGUUAAUGAAAUGAAUAACUUGCUAGUAACAAAUGACAUUCAUAUUCUGACCAUCUCUGAAACUCACUAAGACAAUACCUUUGAUGAUACUGUGGUAGCAAUGCAAUGUUAUACAGAAAAGAUGGAAAUGUCAGUGGUGUUUAUAUUUAGAACCACAUUCCUGUAAAGAUUAGAGAGGAUCUCAUGUUAAAUCCUAUUGAAGUAAUAUGGCUACAGGUUCAUAUGCCUCACCUAAAGCCCAUUCUUGUGGGAAUCUGCUAUAGACAUUAUUUAUUUAGAAAUGUAUUUAUAAAACCCUCCUAGGGCUCACUCCCCCCAUCUGAGAUGUCUACUGCAGCCCUCAUCCUCCACAUACAACACCCAUUCUGCCAGUCACAUUCCAAAGCAUAUCCCUGGGUUGCUCGUCUUUUCAGUUUACUGGAGCUAGUGACUGGAACGAGCUGCAACAAACUCUCAAACUGGACAGUUUUAUCUCAAUCUCUUCAUUCAAAGAUUCAGUCAUGGACACUCUUACUGACAGUUGUGGCUGCUUUGCGUGAUGUACAGUUGUUGCUCCUUUAAAAGUUGUGUCAUACUGCAGCACACCGUGCGGGCUGCUGCAGCAAUCUGUGGCACAUUAUCUAAUUGUCAGCCAUUUUUUCUGUUAAUGCAAGUUAGUCCUAGUUUGACCACCAGAGGGCAUCUUUGAGAAGCAUUUGAUAGUCUUCCAUAUUGGCAUUACCAGAGAAUGUAAAACCUUUUUUGUAAUAACAUAGUAUAUGGGAUUGAUUUUAAGAAUUUUGGCUUAAUUAAUUUGAUUAAUACACUGCUCAAAAAAAUAAAGGGACACUUAAACAACACAUCCUAGAUCUGAAUGAAAGAAAUAAUUUUAUUAAAUACUUUUUUCUUUACAUAGUUGAAUGUGCUGACAACAAAAUCAC
rnacentral:lncRNA from 1 species